rnacentral:rRNA from 1 species
UACAGAGGUCUCAAGCGUUGUUCGGAUUCAUUGGGCGUAAAGGGUGCGUAGGUGGCGCUGUAAGUCGGGUGUGAAAUUUCGGAGCUUAACUCCGAAACUGCAUUCGAUACUGCGGUGCUUGAGGACUGGAGAGGAGACUGGAAUUCAUGGUGUAGCAGUGAAAUGCGUAGAGAUCAUGAGGAAGACCAGUGGCGAAGGCGGGUCUCUGGACAGUUCCUGACACUGAGGCACGAAGGCCAGGGGAGCAAGCGGG